rnacentral:rRNA from 1 species
AGAGUUUGAUCCUGGCUCAGAACGAACGCUGGCAGCGUGGAUUAGGCAUGCAAGUCGAACGGGAAUCUCUGUAUUCAAUCUUUCGAGAGAGAACGCGGGGAAGAGAGUGGCGAAAGGGUGAGUAACGCGUGGGCAACCUGUCUCCGAGUUGGGGAUAACUCCCUGAAAGGGGUGCUAAUACCGAAUACGGUCCUUCCGGCCCAAGCCGGGAAGAUCAAAGGUGGGGAUCCUUCGGGACCUACCGCUUGGAGAGGGGCCCGCGUCCCAUCAGCUUGUUGGUGAGGUAAUGGCCCACCAAGGCAAACGGGUAGCCGGCCUGAGAGGGUGAUCGGCCACACUGGGACUGAGACACUGCCCAGACUCCUACGGGAGGCUGCAGUCGAGGAUCAUUCGCAAUGCGCGGAAGCGUGACGAUGCGACGCUGCGUGGAGGAUGACGGCCUUCGGGUUGUAAACUCCUGUCAUCCGGGAAAAAUUGUCCCGGUGCGAACAGUGCCGGGAUUUGAUGGUACCGGAGGAGGAAGCCACGGCUAACUUCUGUGCCAGCAGCCGCGGUAAUACAGAAGGUGGCGAGCGUUGUUCGGAUUUACUGGGCGUAAAGCGUGCGUAGGCGGCAUCGUAUGUCGGAUGUGAAAUCCCAUGGCUCAACUGUGGAAUGGCAUCCGAAACUGCGGAGCUAGAGUACAGGAGGGGAGAGUAGAAUUCCUGGUGUAGCGGUGAAAUGCGUUGAUAUCAGGAGGAACACCGGUGGCGAAGGCGACUCUCUGGAAUGUUACUGACGCUGAGGCACGAAAGCGUGGGGAGCAAACAGGAUUAGAUACCCUGGGUAGUCCACGCUGUAAACGUUGCGCACUUGGUGUUGGAGGUAUUGACCCCUCCAGUGCCGGAGUUAACGCGUUAAGUGCGCCGCCUGGGGAGUACGGCCGCAAGGUUAAAACUCGAAGAAAUUGACGGGGGCCCGCACAAGCGGAGGAGCAUGUGGCUUAAUUCGAUGCAACGCGAAGAACCCUUACCAGGGCUUGACAUGUAACUGCAUGCCCCGUGAAAGCGGGGAGGCCUUCGAGGGUGUUACACAGGUGCUGCAUGGCUGUCGUCAGUUCGUGCCGUGAGGUGUUGGGUUAAGUCCCGCAACGAACGCAACCCCUGUGUUUAGUUGCCACCACCGGUGAUGAAUCGGUGAGCACUCUAAACAGACUGCCUGUACAAGCAGGAGGAAGGUGGGGAUGACGUCAAGUCAGUAUGGCCCUUACGCCCUGGGCUGCACACGUGCUACAAUGGUCGGUACAGAAGGACGCAAUACCGUGAGGUGGAGCAAAUCCCCAAAACCGGCCCCAGUUCGGAUUGGAGUCUGAAACUCGACUCCAUGAAGUUGGAUUCGCUAGUAACGGCGUAUCAGCUACGGCGCCGUGAAUACGUUCCCGGGCCUUGUACACACCGCCCGUCACAUCAUGAAAGCCGUCUGCACCCGCAGUCGCUGAGCCAGCCCGCAAGGGAGGCAGGCGCCGAAGGUGUGGGUGGUGAUUGGGAUGAAGUCGUAACAAGGUAACC